rnacentral:rRNA from 1 species
AAAUUGAAGAGUUUGAUCAUGGCUCAGAUUGAACGCUGGCGGCAGGCCUAACACAUGCAAGUCGAACGGUAACAGGAAGCAGCUUGCUGCUUCGCUGACGAGUGGCGGACGGGUGAGUAAUGUCUGGGAAACUGCCUGAUGGAGGGGGAUAACUACUGGAAACGGUGGCUAAUACCGCAUAACGUCGCAAGACCAAAGAGGGGGACCUUCGGGCCUCUUGCCAUCAGAUGUGCCCAGAUGGGAUUAGCUUGUUGGUGAGGUAACGGCUCACCAAGGCGACGAUCCCUAGCUGGUCUGAGAGGAUGACCAGCCACACUGGAACUGAGACACGGUCCAGACUCCUACGGGAGGCAGCAGUGGGGAAUAUUGCACAAUGGGCGCAAGCCUGAUGCAGCCAUGCCGCGUGUAUGAAGAAGGCCUUCGGGUUGUAAAGUACUUUCAGCGGGGAGGAAGGUGUUGUGGUUAAUAACCGCAGCAAUUGACGUUACCCGCAGAAGAAGCACCGGCUAACUCCGUGCCAGCAGCCGCGGUAAUACGGAGGGUGCAAGCGUUAAUCGGAAUUACUGGGCGUAAAGCGCACGCAGGCGGUCUGUCAAGUCGGAUGUGAAAUCCCCGGGCUCAACCUGGGAACUGCAUUCGAAACUGGCAGGCUUGAGUCUUGUAGAGGGGGGUAGAAUUCCAGGUGUAGCGGUGAAAUGCGUAGAGAUCUGGAGGAAUACCGGUGGCGAAGGCGGCCCCCUGGACAAAGACUGACGCUCAGGUGCGAAAGCGUGGGGAGCAAACAGGAUUAGAUACCCUGGUAGUCCACGCCGUAAACGAUGUCUACUUGGAGGUUGUGCCCUUGAGGCGUGGCUUCCGGAGCUAACGCGUUAAGUAGACCGCCUGGGGAGUACGGCCGCAAGGUUAAAACUCAAAUGAAUUGACGGGGGCCCGCACAAGCGGUGGAGCAUGUGGUUUAAUUCGAUGCAACGCGAAGAACCUUACCUGGUCUUGACAUCCACGGAAGUUUUCAGAGAUGAGAAUGUGCCUUCGGGAACCGUGAGACAGGUGCUGCAUGGCUGUCGUCAGCUCGUGUUGUGAAAUGUUGGGUUAAGUCCCGCAACGAGCGCAACCCUUAUCCUUUGUUGCCAGCGAUUAGG